AGCGAACGCUGGCGGCAGGCCUAACACAUGCAAGUCGAACGAACCUUUCGGGGUUAGUGGCGGACGGGUGAGUAACACGUGGGAACGUGCCCUUAGGUUCGGAAUAACUCAGGGAAACGUGUGCUAAUACCGAAUGUGCCCUUCGGGGGAAAGAUUUAUCGCCUUUAGAGCGGCCCGCGUCUGAUUAGCUAGUUGGUUGAGGUAAUGGCUCACCAAGGCGACGAUCAGUAGCUGGUCUGAGAGGAUGAUCAGCCACAUUGGGACUGAGACACGGCCCAAACUCCUACGGGAGGCAGCAGUGGGGAAUCGUGCGCAAUGGGCGAAAGCCUGACGCAGCCAUGCCGCGUGAAUGAUGAAGGUCUUAGGAUUGUAAAAUUCUUUCACCGGGGACGAUAAUGACGGUACCCGGAGAAGAAGCCCCGGCUAACUUCGUG
rnacentral:rRNA from 1 species